AUAUGGCAAUUUGCAGAUAGCCUUUUGGUUCAGUGUAACAUAAAUGUCAAAAUGUAGAGAGUAGUGAAAUAAACGGCGAGAAGCUGGCAUUCUUGUUCAGACAUUGGAGACGUACUGACUUAAAACUGGUGAGCUAUAUUUUAAAGAAAACUCCGAAGAUUCCCUUAUCCUUUCCGGCUGGUGAUUGUCACGCGAGAAGCCUAGUUAAUCGGUUCUGGAUAGCUGGAGUACUGAAGAUAACCGUUAGGUUGUGCUUUGUUCAACGAUUGAUAUAAAAGCAAACAAAAACGCCAAAGGGUGGAUAAAAAAAAAGUGUCAUCUUUACGAAAUUUCGGAAGCAUUCCUUUUGGCUAACUGCCAAAAAAAGAGAAGCUAAACCGUGUGUCAUCAAGGCUGUGUACGAUUCGGCGAUUGAUAUAAAAACUAAAUUUGGACGCCAAAGGGUGAUUAAAGAAGAAUUGUGCUGCUUAUCAUAAAUCCUGGACGCGAAGUAAUCUCUGGUGGCUAAUUGGCAGCAUAAUCAAGUCGACGAUUAUCGAGGUUGCAAUUGGAAGCGUGAUGCUCAUGGCACAUCGAACGCAGCUAAGGAUAGCCAAUAAUGAUGGGCUUGAACGACCAAACGUUACAAUAUCGAUGAGUUCCCCUAACAUUUAUGACGGGAAGGAUGACGAGCCCUUCUUGGGGUUCCCAGAGGUUCCUCGAGUUAAAACGAAUAAAAAGAGAAAAUUGGUGACAGUGGAGUCGGCGGUUGUCGGCCAAAGGCGUUCGAAAAGGAUACGGUUGGCAAAGGUUGACCGAGAUAUUGUUUACAAUUAGUAGUAUGUAAGACAAACGAUUUACAAUUGAAAUAUCUUAGAUUUAGUAGUUAUUUUUAUAUAGAUUGAAUUAAUUUGUUUGAAAUUGCAUAUAAUAGAUUAGUCUUCUUAUAGAAGGGAGAGCUGUUGCAUAUGGCAAUUUGCAGAUAGCCUUUUGGUUCAGUGUAACAUAAAUGUCAAAAUGUAGAGAGUAGUGAAAUAAACGGCGAGAAGCUGGCAUUCUUGUUCAGACAUUGGAGACGUACUGACUUAAAACUGGUGAGCUAUAUUUUAAAGAAAACUCCGAAGAUUCCCUUAUCCUUUCCGGCUGGUGAUUGUCACGCGAGAAGCCUAGUUAAUCGGUUCUGGAUAGCUGGAGUACUGAAGAUAACCGUUAGGUAAGAUAAAGUUUAGAGGAUAGCUUUCUCACGCUCUCCUGAC